AGCGAACGCUGGCGGCAGGCCUAACACAUGCAAGUCGAGCGAACCUUUCGGGGUUAGUGGCGGACGGGUGUGUAACCCGUGGGAACGGGCCCUUAGGGUCGGCAUAACUCAGGGACACUUGUGCUAAUACCGAAUGUGCCCUACGGGGGAAAGAUUUAUUGCCCUUAGAGGGUCCCGCGUCAGAUUAGCUAGUUGUGUAAGGUAAUGGGACACCAAGGCGACGUUCACUAGUUGGUCUGGGAGGAUGGUCCGACACAUUGGGACUGUGACGCAGCCCAAACUCCUACGCGAGGGAGGAGUGGGGAAUCGUGCGCAAUGGGCGAAAGGCUGACGCAGCCAUGCCGCGUGAAUGAUGAAGGUCUUAGGGUUGUAAUAUUCUUGCACCGGGGACGAUAAUGACGGUACCCGGAGAAGAAGCCCCGGCUAACUUCGUG
rnacentral:rRNA from 1 species